CAGCAGCCACGGUAAUACGUAGGUGGCAAGCGUUGUCCGGAUUUAUUGGGCGUAAAGCGAGCGCAGGCGGUUUCUUAAGUCUGAUGUGAAAGCCCCCGGCUCAACCGGGGAGGGUCAUUGGAAACUGGGAGACUUGAGUGCAGAAGAGGAGAGUGGAAUUCCAUGUGUAGCGGUGAAAUGCGUAGAUAUAUGGAGGAACACCAGUGGCGAAGGCGGCUCUCUGGUCUGUAACUGACGCUGAGGCUCGAAAGCGUGGGGAGCAAACAGGAUUAGAUACCCGCGUAGUCCCUGUCUCUUAUAU
rnacentral:rRNA from 1 species